UACGGAGGAGGCAAGCGUUAUCCGGAAUUAUUGGGCGUAAAGCGUCCGUAGAUGGUUUUGUCAGUCUGCUGUCAAAGCACAGGGCUUAACCCUGUAAAGGCAGUGGAAACUACAAGACUAGAGUGCAGUAGGGGCAGAGGGAAUUCCCAGUGUAGCGGUGAAAUUCGUAGAUAUUAGGAAGAACACCAGUGGCGAAGGCGGCUCACUGGUCCGGUACUGACGCUGAGGUGCGAAAGCGUGGGGAGCAAACAGG
rnacentral:rRNA from 1 species